rnacentral:rRNA from 1 species
GCUUAACGCGAAGAACCUUACCAGGUCUUGUAUCCUCACUAUGAUUUUCAGAGAUGAAUUUCUUCACUUCGGGUGGGUGAGAGACAGGUGUUGCAUGGCUGUCGUCAGCUCGUGUCGUGAGAUGUUAGGUUAAGUCCUUCAACGAGCGCAACCCUCAUCCUUAUUUGCCAACAGGUUAAGCUGGGAACUAUAAGGAAACUGCCAACGACAAGUUGGAGGAAGGUGGGGAUGAUGUCAAGUCAUCAUGGCCCUUAUGGCCUGGGCUACACACAUGCUACAAUGGUGGUUACAGCAGGAUGCGAAGGAGUAAUCUGGAGCUAAUCCCUAAAAGCCAUCUCAGUUCAGAUUGAGGGCUGCAACUCGCCCUCAUGAAGUUGGAAUUGCUAGUAAUCGUGGAUCAGCACGCCACGGUGAAUACGUUCUCGGGUCUUGUACACACCGAGUCGGUGGGGGAGGGCAA